CGAUGAACAGGCAAAAGCUCAGAUUUGAAACCCUCGGGAUUGUAAUCUGGAGACCCGGUUUUGGCACGCUGACCAAGUCUUCUGGAACGGAGCGCCAUGGAGGGUGACAGCCCCGUAGCAGCAGCCACUGUAAAUCCGGGUCGACGAGUCGAGUUGUUUGGGAAUGCAGCUCUAAGUGGGUGGUAUGCUCCAUCUAAAGCUAAAUAUUGGCGAGAGACCGAUAGCGAACAAGUACUGUGAAGGAAAGAUGAAAAGAACUUUGAAAAGAGAGUGAAAAAGUACGUGAAAUUGUUGAAAUGGAAGGCAAUGAGGUGCGAUUGAACCGGACGUUUGCGGGCAGGACAAAAGCGCAGGCCGCCUCGGCAUUGCCUGCGUGCAUACUGCCUCGCGGACUACCAGUUCUAACAACGCCUUAUUGCACCCGUCUU
rnacentral:rRNA from 1 species